CCAGCCUGAAACCUGCUUGCUCAGGGUGGA
rnacentral:piRNA from 1 species